UGAUCACCCCAACACCGAACCGCCUCCUUUGUCCUCUCUCGAAAGCAAUCUUUGUUAUGGAUUGAUGAAGGCAUGAGUUGAAGAAAUCCUUGUUGUCCCAACUGCUCAACAGUGCUUCCAUGGAUGGCAAAAGCUCAUCUGAGUUGAGCCUUCCUGGUUUUGGAUUAUUGAGUAUUUGGCAAAAUUCGAGCAAGUUAAGCCAUCCCUCUUGCAUGGUAUCAUUAAAGUGGCUCCAGAGUUACCUGCUCACUUGGGAAAAAAUAUGGAGGAAGUUGUUUCUUUGAGAUGCUUGGAGGAGUUAUGUGGCCCUAGAAAUGGAAGCAUGAACAGUACUUGGUCCUGAU